AAUAUGAAUUGCGGUGAAAAACUGGCAGAGCGCUUGAAGCAGUCUGCCAAUUGCAAGCCAACAUCUUUGAGGAGCAAAACAAUUGGGUGAUUGCCCCAAAAGGUCCUCCAAUGCCAAAGGAUGGAUCCAAGCCUCCCUCCAAUGAAGUCGGCUGUCAUCUUAACUCUUGAGGAAGAGUUGACGACUCCCGUCACCAAAUCGAUUUUGUCAAUCAGCCACCCAUCCACCACCCGCUUGGAAGCCCGGCCGGGGGCUGCCUUCUCGGAAGCUGGUUGCCCUCAACAAGGCAGCCCUGAAAUGUUUUGGCCAUGACUCCGUCAGGCGCGGCCUUCGCGAACGCUUUCAAGCUGACGCUUCGCCCUCACCAAAGUGAUGUUCAAAUCAACUCUCAUCCAUCCGUGCACUGAAGCAGGUGCCGCCUUCAGGCGAAAAAGAAAAAAAAAAAAAGCAGCUUCCCUUCACCGAUGUCCUCAUCAAAUGUUACAGCAUCCAUCCAACCAUCCCAAAACAACCCCAUCUGGGUCAUUUUGACCCCAAACAACCCUAAAAGUUGGGUCGAAUUGACCUAAAGAGUGGGACGGUUCCCUUGAUGACCCAGAUUGGCUUAUUCGUUUCGUUUUUAGAGUGAUCCAUUGUGAGCAUUUUUGCCAAAUGAAAAAGGGUCGUUUCGCCACCAAGUGACGCGACACAUUUGCAACCCGGCAAAAUGAACGUUCUCGUGACAAGCUAUUCGCUCACUUUUGAUGAUGCACGCACUGAACAAGCUACGAUUGAGAUGACUGACAUCUUUCUGUUUGCAUUCGUGCUCUUCCGUUUAUUUCUUUUAUUUUUUUAUUUUUUGGGCUGUGUGUGUGCGUGCGUGAUGACCAGCCGAGAUAGCGCAGCAGGAAACAUAAUGGCAUCCAUUCACUUGGCAUUUUGGCAAAUAGUGCUGAAUCAUUCCUGUGUCCUUGUGUGCGCGUGUGCGUGUGUGUGAGACACACACACACACACACUUAAUCAUUAAUAAAGUCAUUUGGAGGCGCCGUGACAUUGAAGCGAGGCCUCGACGCUCUUUGAACAAUUUUUACACGACUCGUCGCGUCAGGCCGACAAAUACCGACAGGGAAGAGCACAAAUUUGGCGCGCUUUCAGACUUUCGAUCGAUGAAGACGCUCGCUGGCUUUAGCAGUUAGCAUUAGCACCAAAUCUCAAGGAAAAGUAUGCGUUUAAAUGGCCAACAUGAAAAUGGUAACUCGCAACCGCAAUGGCCGACGUUCUGUGUUUGUUCAGUUCAUUGCUUCUUGAAACUUUUUUUUUGGUGGGUCUCCUCAUGAUGGACAUGACUAGUUAAUUUCAGGUCGCAAAGAGAAAAUGGCUUUGGGGCACAAUUUUCAAUGACAUUACUUAGGUGCUACCGAGUCAAUUUAUAGAGGUGGUGACCAGAACUGAACUAAACAUGCUUGCCUGAUUAGGUGCAUUUCUCAAAUAUUGAGAAGAUGGUGAUUUAAGUGGCCUGAGAAUCAAAAACAAAACAAACGGCAAUUUUGCCCAACGUAACCUUCACUUCAGAUCAAAGAAAGCGCCAGGCUUCCUCUGUAUUCUCGGGCACGAAAGAGACUUUUGGGGAGGGGCUCCUCAUGAUCGACAUGCCCACCAAAUUUCACAGUGCUCAGUGAAACUGGCCUUGGUGCCUUAAUUUUCAACAACAACAAAAUCCAUUGCGACUGCAAAAUGCGUUACAAACGGCUGCUUCAAAACCAAAACGGCUUCUUGAGACCGGGUAUGGGUUGAGCCAUGAUAAACAAGUCAACAAAAUCUCAUUCUCCGAAGCGAGACUGCUUUCAGGGGCCGACCCCCCGCAAAAUUCAAAGGGUACGGGACAUUCCCGAGCUAACUUCGGUCGCCCUAAGUAGAUGCUAAAAUCAAACGUCGAAAGCCGAAAAGUGUCCGGGUGUCCCUUGACAGCACGCCGCCAAAGGACCAUGACGACGGCAACGACACGCGAGGCCUCCACAAAACGACGACUAAGGCGAUUCUCCGAGAAGAAUCACGACCCAAAGGGUUUGAAUUCUUGGAAUGUUUGCGAUAUAACAGAAGCGAGCGUUCGGGCCUCGCCGUGCGGUCCUGCGUCCUUG